GACGAACGCUGGCGGCGUGCCUAAUACAUGCAAGUAGAACGCACAGUUUAUACCGUAGCUUGCUACACCAUAGACUGUGAGUUGCGAACGGGUGAGUAACGCGUAGGUAACCUGCCUGGUAGCGGGGGAUAACUAUUGGAAACGAUAGCUAAUACCGCAUAAUAUUGAUUAUUGCAUGAUAAUUGAUUGAAAGAUGCUAUUGCAUCACUACCAGAUGGACCUGCGUUGUAUUAGCUAGUAGGUGAGGUAACGGCUCACCUAGGCGACGAUACAUAGCCGACCUGGGAGGGUGAUCGGCCACACUGGGACUGAGACACGGCCCAUACUCCUACGGGAGGCAGCAGUAGGGAAUCUUCGGCAAUGGACGAAAGUCUGACCGAGCAACGCCGCGUGAGUGAAGAAGGUUUUCGGAUCGUAAAGCUCUGUUGUAAGAGAAGAACGGGUGUGAGAGUGGAAAGUUCACACUGUGACGGUAUCUUACCAGAAAGGGACGGCUAACUACGUG
rnacentral:rRNA from 1 species